rfam:Cajanus cajan chromosome 8, whole genome shotgun sequence.
GCAUCCAUUGUCUAAUGGAUAGGAUAGAGAUCUUUUAAACUUUCAACAUAGGUUCAAAUCCUAUUGGACACA